GUGGGCCGUCCCUGGCGCGCCACGGGCGGGUGGGGCGCUACGUACCAGGCGGGCAGCCUCGGCCCAGAUCUGGAUGUAUGAAGGAUGGGGGUUCCCUAUUAGGGAAGCACUAAAGAAGUGAAGAUUUCAAAGUUCAUGCUAACCUUUCCAACUUCUUACAUCAUUGAGGAAUCCUCUAGGUUAUUUUGUAUCCACACAAAUUAAAGAAUCUGCCAUUCUUACAUGAAGGACUUGAAUCUACUGACCAAUUUAGAAAGAAUGGUCCUACUAGCAAUACUAAAAUUGGUACACUGGUAAAGUUGAACUUAUUUGGUUUUCUAUAUUUUUAGUCAUAUUUAAACAUUUUCUAAAUUAUUUAUUUAUUUAUUU